ACAAGCGGUGGAGCAUGUGGUUUUAAUUCGAAGCAACGCGCAGAACCUUACCAGCCCUUGACAUACCGGUCGCGGACACAGAGAUGUGUCUUUCAGUUCGGCUGGACCGGAUACAGGUGCUGCAUGGCUGUCGUCAGCUCGUGUCGUGAGAUGUUGGGUUAAGUCCCGCAGCGAGCGCAACCCUCGCCCUUAGUUGCCAGCAUUUAGUUGGGCACUCUAAGGGGACUGCCGGUGAUAAGCCGAGAGGAAGGUGGGGAUGACGUCAAGUCCUCAUGGCCCUUACGGGCUGGGCUACACACGUGCUACAAUGGUGGUGACAGUGGGCAGCGAGCACGCGAGUGUGAGCUAAUCUCCAAAAGCCAUCUCAGUUCGGAUUGCACUCUGCAACUCGAGUGCAUGAAGUUGGAAUCGCUAGUAAUCGCGGAUCCAGCAUGCCGCGGUGAAUACGUUCCCGGGCCUU
rnacentral:rRNA from 1 species